CUACGGGACGCAGCAGUGGGGAAUAUUGCACAAUGGAGGAAACUCUGAUGCAGCAACGCCGCGUGGAGGAUGACACUUUUCGGAGCGUAAACUCCUUUUAUAUAGGAAGAUAAUGACGGUACUAUAUGAAUAAGCACCGGCUAACUCCGUGCCAGCAGCCGCGGUAAUACGGAGGGUGCAAGCGUUACUCGGAAUCACUGGGCGUAAAGAGCGUGUAGGCGGAUAGAUAAGUCAGGAGUGAAAUCCUAUGGCUCAACCAUAGAACUGCUCUUGAAACUGUCUAUCUAGAAUAUGGGAGAGGUAGAUGGAAUUUCUGGUGUAGGGGUAAAAUCCGUAGAGAUCAGAAGGAAUACCGAUUGCGAAGGCGAUCUACUGGAACAUUAUUGACGCUGAGACGCGAAAGCGUGGGGAGCAAACGGGAUUAGAUACCCUUGUAGUC
rnacentral:rRNA from 1 species